UCGAUGUUGAUGGGUCCGUCCAGCAAAAAUAAUACACACUAUUUGCAAGAGGAUGAGCCCUAAAUCUUCCAACAAACCGGAUUCUGCACGGCAUGGCAGGGAUUAAAACAACCAGAUUACGCACUCCAGGUGUGUCCCAGCUCCAUUUCCAGCUUCUGGCAGGGGCCAUAUAAACAAACAGACAAACUCCUGGAGCGGUCUAUCUUUUCUACUUAAUUUUAUCUCUGUUCCCAGGAUCAAUCGUCGAGCAAUGGCAGUUAUUUCAUACUCAGCAUCAGCAAAAAUCAGGUUCGAAAGGAGGGGCCCAGGAUUCGACGCAAAUUUCUUCCUUCGGCAACUUCCACUGGAGGUACGAAUCUUGCACCAAGACAAUACAGGAAUAAGUUGUCCGCACUAACGCCUCCUGUGGCUGAUGAUAUGGAUGAGGAGCACAAUGACGCUUCGACACGGGCACAAACAGCUGUCAAAGUGCGUUUGUGUUGAAGCACCUUCUCCAGCGACUUCUGCAGUGAUUCUCGAUCGUGGGCAUUGUGGCAAGCAAGCUUAGUUCGGAUGGCCAUGCAGCAGAGUUGCAGGAGUUAGUUAUGCGGC
rnacentral:sRNA from 2 species